CAGGCACUACUCAGCAGAAGUUCCGGACGGUUCCACAGGACGCUUGUUGAAGACGACAAGAGGGAAAAUAACUACUACGACUAAAGCGAAGUUCGAAAGAGAGAUGGAAACUCGUGGCAAGAAGAGAGGUGAAGGGAGCAGCAAGACUAAAAGACCAUCCAACCCUAACCUGUGUUCCUCUAUGACUGUGCCACCUCAGGAUGAUCAAUCUGUAGAUGAGGUUGGCAUGCAACCGAAGACCAAAAAGGCCACAGUUGGUUGUUCCCUGAAGGAAUCACGUAAGUCUUGUGCAUACUAUGGAAGUUUGUG
ensembl:lncRNA